AAUGCCCAGGAGAUUUGAAUGUAGAAUAAACAAUGAAUAAUUGUAAGUGUGAGUACAUCCAAUGCAAUAUUUGGGACAUACUUAUACUAAAAAAAAUUGUUAUCUGAAAAUAAAAUUUAGCUGGACAUC
rnacentral:miRNA from 1 species